rnacentral:rRNA from 1 species
AACGAACGCUGGCGGCAUGCCUAACACAUGCAAGUCGAACGAGACCUUCGGGUCUAGUGGCGCACUGGUGCGUAACGCGUGGGAACCUGCCCUUAGGUUCGGAAUAUCUCCCCGAAUGGGGUGCUAAUACCGGAUCAUGUCUUCCGUCCUUAGUUUUAUCGCCUUUGGAUGGGCCCGCGUUGGAUUAGCUAGUUGUUAGGGUAAAAGCCUACCAAGGCGACGAUCCAUAGCUGGUCUGAGAGGAUGAUCAGCGACACUGGGACUGAGACACGGCCCAGACUCCUACGGGAGGCAGCAGUGGGGAAUAUUGGACAAUGGGCGAAAGCCUGAUCGAGCAAGGCCGCGUGAGUGAUGAAGGCCGUAGGGUUGUAAAGCUAUUUUACCCGGGAUGAUAAUGACAGUACCGGGAGAAUAAGCUCCGGCUAACUCCGUG